UCACUCUAUCCCUCAGCUUAAUCCGCCGUCGUUGGUUCAAACGACGGUCGUAUUGAUCUUCGCUGAUUGGAUCUUUAUAAUCCGUACAAACUCCCGGAGCUCUUGGCCUAUCAAUGUCCGGGAUUGAUGGAGCUAUCCAAACCAGCUGCUCUGUUACGCACCUCUGGAACCACGGCGAUAAGCAAAGGCGUCGAAUUGACUCAUCACGGGAACUUCAUUACUUUGCUGUUAUUUCCAAGCAAAGGAUUGUGAAAAAGUUUCUCGAUUGAAGAGGUAGCUAGUAAAGUUCCAAUUGCAUUUCUUUGAUGCAUUAACAAAGCAUUCAGAUUUGAGGUCUCAUUCAGCGAGUAAGAUCCAAGACAUAAAGAUCUUCCACAAUCCGCACCUCAUAAGUAUAAAUUCAAAUACAGCAGGAGGGAUGUGAAAAAAAAAAGGAGUCUCUAGGAUGUCCUUAAGUAGUUUAUUUCCCAUUAAUGGAAGAUUAGUUUUAGUUUCUAGUUGGUUAAAGUUUCAGACUUUGAGUUCUUAUUGGUCCUGGAGAGAAAAGAAGUGAGAAAUAUAAACUUAUUUUAAAUGUUUUCUUGUAACUUAUAACUUCUUAUUUCACACACCGUUGACCUGAUUCGUU